CCUACGGGUGGCAGCAGUGGGGGAUAUUGCACAAUGGGGGGAACCCUGAUGCAGCGACGCCGCGUGGGUGAAGGAGCGUUUCGGCGCGUAAAGCUCUAUCGGCCGGGAAGAAGAUGACGGUCCCUGACCAAGAAGCCCCGGCUAACUACGUGCCAGCAGCCGAGGUAAUACGUAGGGGGCAAGCGUUCCCCGAUUUUACUGGGUGUAAAGGGGGCGCAGACGGCAAUGCAAGCCAGGAGUGAAUGCGCGGGCCCCAACGCCGGGACGGCUCUUGGCACUGCAUGGCUGGAGUACAGGAGGGGCGGGAGGAAUUCCUAGUGUAGCGGUGAAAUGCGUAGAUAUUAGGAGGAACACCGGUGGCGAAGGCGGCCUGCUGGACUGUGACUGACGUUGAGGCCCGAAGGCGUGGGGAGCAAACAGGAUUAGAUACCCGUGUAGUC
rnacentral:rRNA from 1 species